rnacentral:rRNA from 1 species
GCCUGAUCCAGCCAUGCCGCGUGGGUGAAGAAGGCCUUCGGGUUGUAAAGCCCUUUUGUUGGGGAAGAAAUCGUACGGGCGAAUAUCCCGUGCGGAUGACGGUACCCAAAGAAUAAGCACCGGCUAACUUCGUGCCAGCAGCCGCGGUAAUACGAAGGGUGCAAGCGUUACUCGGAAUUACUGGGCGUAAAGCGUGCGUAGGCGGUUUGUUAAGUCCGCUGUGAAAGCCCUGGGCUCAACCUGGGAAUUGCAGUGGAUACUGGCAAGCUAGAGUGCGGUAGAGGAUGGUGGAAUUCCCGGUGUAGCGGUGAAAUGCGUAGAGAUCGGGAGGAACACCCGUGGCGAAGGCGGCCAUCUGGACCAGCACUGACGCUGAGGCACGAAAGCGUGGGGAGCAAACAGGAUUAGAUACCCUGGUAGUCCACGCCCUAAACGAUGCGAACUGGACGUUGGGUGGACUUAGCCACUCAGUGUCGAAGCUAACGCGUUAAGUUCGCCGCCUGGGGAGUACGGUCGCAAGACUGAAACUCAAAGGAAUUGACGGGGGCCCGCACAAGCGGUGGAGUAUGUGGUUUAAUUCGAUGCAACGCGAAGAACCUUACCUGGUCUUGACAUGUCCGGAACCCUGCAGAGA